rnacentral:sRNA from 1 species
CUGGUUAUGACGUUGCCCAUGGCAAAUUAUUUGGUUAAUAAAUGCAACGCAGAAUAGGACAUACAAGCAAUUUGGUUUUAAGUGAAAUUGGCUUUACGAAUAAAAGUGCAUGACGCAAUAUCAUGGCUGUUAGUAUAUUGAGUAGAUUCAAGUGGACAUCUUUUCGUUUAUUGGGCUGUAUCAUAAAUUCACCAGAAGUUUUUUGUAAACCAAUUUCUGAACCUCAUAAUACAAAUCAGCGGAGUUCGCGAUCCAUUUAUUUGCAUAAGAUGAGACAUUUUUGUAACAAAAGUGAAAGUUCUUUCACCGACUUCGCAAAUUCAAUACCAAAAGUAGAGCAUAAUGCACACGAUCAACGUUUUUUUGUUAAUGUAAACGGAGUUGGAUGUGCAUACUUAGAAUAUGUCCGUGACGACAAGCUCAUAAAACUUUUGCAUACAGAAGUACCAACCUCACUGGGUGGAAGAGGAAUUGGAAAACGAUUAGCCAAGGGUUUUGAUCGCAUUCUUCACAAACAAAUGCACGGAUAUAUAGAUAAGCAUUGCUUACUCUCGGACAAGCAUUCAGGCUUUAAAGAAAAUCAUAGAUGUGUUACAUCUUUGAUAGAUGUCAUGGAUGACCUAAGAUCUAGCAUUGAUGAAGGACUUGCAGCCUGUUAGCUAUCGAACUACCUA